UUCUCCCGAGGUUUGUUCUGGUAGCCCUACAGCAGGGAGUUUACCAAGUGGGAAUUUCAGUAGCGCGUUUUUAAUGUGUUUCUGUUUUUACCUCUGAAACUCUAUCAGGACUCAGGUGCUGGAGCACUAAUGCAUAGUUGGAGCAAUAAACCACUAAAGACCACCAAAGCAAGCAAGCAAGCAAGCAAACAAGCAAACAAACAAACAAGGCCUACAUUGUAUUUGGACGGUGAAAGAACGUCAUCCGCUUGUAAUCUGAAACUUUGAAUCUGCCAUCACCUUUAAUAGCCAGUGAGGUCCGGCUAUGGAAGGGAAACCCCUAAUGGCACAAUGAUCAAGGAAAGAGACACCAAGGCUACAUCGCUACAUUGUGGUGGCAGUGGCUGGAGGUGCUCUUCAUGUCACGAGAGGAGUAGAGAAAGUACUGGAAAGGAAAGGGAGAAGUCAGCGACAUACCACUCACGCUCCCAAGAGGUAUUGGCAGAGGAGAGAGAGAAUGGAGCUGCAGCAGCUGAAUGCUUGACUGCGGAAUCCCCUGCUCCAGAGCAACCAACCCUGGCAGUAGUGACCAAGGCAUGGCAGAACUUCCUAACGACAUUUUAGUUUAUAGCUGUAGCGUGUGUGGGAGAGAAGUCAUUGGGCUGUGUAGUUGGUGCUGCUCCUUACUGGAAAAACUAGAAGCGCAUUCGUGGCCAUGGAUCCAGUGGAGGCUGAUAAGGUGAAAGAGGCCAUUUAAAAAAUAUUAAGUUAGCACUGAAUUCUAUUGACAGAGGUUCCCAUCCUUGGGUGUGUGGCCAGGAGAAUCCCCAAAGGAACUGUAUAUGCUGUUAAAAUAACUUUAUGACAAAUGGAUUAAGCCAAGUUAGCACAUCAUUCUUAAAAUUGGAGAGCUCACCAUACUGGAGCAGUUCCUUUGGAUAGUGAACCAAGAGGUCCAGCUUUGGAUCCAGGAACAUGACCCACCAACUGCUAUGGAAGCUGCUAGACUGGCUGAGGUCUUCAUGUUGGCACAGAAAGGACUGAUAAAUUGGCACUGGUGGAAGGAAG